rnacentral:piRNA from 1 species
UGAGGUACUGCGAAGCCAGGGAUCCCCCAU